rnacentral:rRNA from 1 species
UACAGAGGGGGCAAGCGUUGUUCGGAAUUACUGGGCGUAAAGGGCGCGUAGGCGGCCUGCUAAGUCGAACGUGAAAUCCCUGGGCUCAACCCAGGAACUGCGUCCGAUACUGGUUGGCUUGAAUCCGGGAGAGGGAUGCGGAAUUCCAGGUGUAGCGGUGAAAUGCGUAGAUAUCGAGAGGAACAACUGCGGCGAAGGCGGGUUGCUGGGCUGACACUGACGCUGACAGCGCGAAAGCUAGGGGAGCGAACGGG